UACGUAGGGGGCAAGCGUUGUCCGGAAUCAUUGGGCGUAAAGCGCGCGUAGGCGGCCCGGUAAGUCCGCUCUGAAAGUCCAGGGCUCAACCCUGGAAAGCGGGUGGAUACUGCCGGGCUAGAAUCCGGAAGAGGCGAGUGGAAUUCCUGGUGUGGCGGUGGAAUGCGCAGAUAUCAGGAGGAACACCAAUAGCGAAGGCAGCUCGCUGGGACGGUAUUGACGCUAAGGCGCGAAAGCGUGGGGAGCAAACAGG
rnacentral:rRNA from 1 species